AGACGCCACCCGCGCCGUGGCCCCGAGAACCCUGCGCGGCGGCGGCGGCGGCGGCGGCGGCGGCUGCGGCUCCAGCGGCGGCGUCCCAGGCUGCGGUGGCGGUGACGCUCCGGGUGGCGAGCGACUGCGGCUGCGGGCGCGUGGGGGGUGGGGGUGGGGCGCCUGGGGACCCGGCCGGGGGCCGGCGGAGGAGCAGGACCGGGCCGGAGGGCUCGGAGGCGGCGCAGGCGGCCAGGAGCCGGGGAGGAGCAGCGGCCACCGCCGCCCCGGCAGCCCCGAGGCCGCACUGGCGCGCACGGCGAGGGCGCGGCUCCCGGCAGCGGGGACGCGCCUCCUCCCGCAGCCCCCGCCCCGCCGCGCUGGCACCGCCCCGUCUCCCAGGAACCCGCGGGCGGCCUCCCCGCGCCCCCUCCGGCCCGGCCCCUCUCCCGGCGGGGACCCAGGCCCUCCUCCGCUUUCCCCCCCGCAGCACAGCCCCGAGGCGCAGGCCCGGAGCGCGCUCGGGAGCCGGGAGCCGGGGGCGGGGGCCCGUCCCGGAUGCUGACCUGAGGCUGGGGGGGCGGGGGUGGCAGGGAGGGGAUGGGGGUGUCGGGUUUCUCCUGGGGGAUCGGAGAAUGGCAGCUCCCCACCUGGGAGCCCCCUCUCCUGCUGACGACGACCAGACCCCCACUGCUGUCUGGGGCCCUCAAAACCACCACAGCCGCUACCUGUCCCCUCCAGGCCUCCAGCCUCUCAGCUAGGCGACCUGGGCCUGCGUGCCAACUGCUGAUCUCCUUCCCCUGGGAAUCGGCCAACCCCAGCUGGCCACAGGCUCCCCGGGCACCCUCCCACACUGGUGUCUCUCCCUUCCCUCCCAGGACACCGGGACAGCCCUCACCAAUACCUUGUACUCCCCGGAGCCCUGGCCCUGGCCUCACCUGGCUGCCACCCCACAGGAGAAAACCACCCACUCAGGCCACCCUCCUCGCGGCCAGCCUGCACUUGGAGAGACCUACCUGGCAGGCAGCGCUUGAUCAAAGACCCCUCACCGAGGCCACAACACCUAAGACUCCUGAAGAAGGGGGCUUCACCAGCGCCCAAGCCGGACCCGGGUCAGUAAACAAAUAUGCCUGAAGACACCGCACGGAGAGACUCUUGGUCUGGUGUCGGCAUUCAAGGAAAAGCAGCUUCGUGCCAUCACGGCCCCAGAGUGGCGGCCUCAGACCUUCCUGACCCGACCCCUCCCACAGGCAGCAGGACAGCGGGCAGCGUCCACGAGGGGGUUUUCGGGGCGAGUCUGCUCCCCACAAGGGCGCCCUUGUUCUCACAGAGGCCCGGCGGCCUCCGCGGGAGAUGGGAGUACUCGCUGCUCGCUGUGCAAGGUGUCAGACGCGAUCUGCACAGCAGCCCCUCUUUCCCUCGCCGCGGCGGGCGGUGUAGGCGCUGACAUGAAUGCCCGCGGUCACUCAGCGGGAAGUGGCUGAGCAGUGCUGGCCUCCGGCUCCCCCCCCCCCCUCUCCCGCUGCGAGACCUCCCCCCACGCCAGCCCCGGGGUGGGGGGGGGGGGCGUCCUGAGCAGGACGGGGACGCGGAAGCAGGGGCAGGGGCAGGCACGUCCCGCCGCCCAGCAAGCUGCAGACGGCCGGCCCGCUGCCUGGGGAGGACGUUCCCCCCCCGCCCCCCACCGGCUGAGUCAGGGGGCCGCCUACCGCCCAGGCACCUCCACCCGGCUCGCCAGCCCAGCUGGCAGGCACGGCUGGGGAGGGGGCUGCAGAUCUGGACGGGACACAGUUCACCGUGAAUGACAGAAAAACGGCAUUAUUUCUUAGCAUAAGAGUAUCUGGCCCAAAGGAACUGAAAUGAAAGCAAGGACCGGAACAGAAUCUCGCACGCCCCUGUGCACCGCGGCUGCCUCACAACAGCCGGAAGGUGAAAACAACCCGUGUCCGUCCACCGAGAAGUGGGUCACAAAACGUGGCAGAGCCACAGGACGGAAUAUUAUUCAGCCUCAACAAGUAACGAAGUGCGACACCUGCUGCGACGUGGAGGCACCUGACCUUGCCAACGCCGUGCGGAGUGAAAGAAACCAGACUUGAAGCAACAGAUACCGUGUGACUCCCUGUACGCGGACGCCCCCAGGGUCGUCAGAGUCACAGUGACAGAGCGGAAGGUGGGCGCCGGGGCCAGGGCGGGGCUGGGGAGUCCGUGUCCCCUGGGGAGAGAGGUCCAGUGGGGGAAGAUGAGAAAAUUCUGGAGACGGAUGGUGUGGACGGUGCGUAUGUGCUUAAUGACCCUGACCUGUACACAAAAAUGGUUAAAAUGCUAAA